GCGGGUAUAGUUAAAUGGUAUAACCUCAGCCUUCCAAGCUGAUGUUGUCGGUUCGAUCCCGUCUACCCGCU
rfam:Jeotgalicoccus sp. 13MG44_air genome assembly, contig: CONTIG000001